rnacentral:rRNA from 1 species
CAGAGGCCCCAAGCAUUACCCGGAAUUAUUGGGCGUAAAGGGUGCGUAGGUGGUCAUGUUAGUCGUUUGUUAAAAACCCGGGCUCAACCCGGGGAAUGCGGGCGAAACGGCAUGACUUGAGGGCGUGAGAGGUUUGCAGAACUCUAGGUGUAGGGGUGAAAUCCGUUGAUAUCUAGGGGAAUACCGAAAGCGAAGGCAGCAAACUGGCGCGUUCCUGACACUCAAGCACGAAAGCGUGGGUAGCGAAUGGGAUUAGAUACCCCCAGUAGUCCACGCCCUAAACGAUGUCAACUGGCUUUCCGGAGUAUCGACCCUCUGGGAGGCGAAGCUAACGCGUUAAGUUGACCGCCUGGGUAGUACGGCCGCAAGGCUA